rfam:Picea glauca, whole genome shotgun sequence.
ACCCUUUUGACUCAGUAGUAGAGUAACGCCAUGGUAAGGCGUAAGUCAUUGGUUCAAGUUUGGUAAAGGGCU